GGCAGGUCUUCGCCCUCGAGGGCUGCUCUUUCAUGUUACAUCGUCCGGAAGCCGCGCGAAUAUUGACAGCUGUUACUGUAGAAACCUAGAACGUGACGCAGGUAAAAGCUAAGACUCCAGUGUCAUUUCUGGACUUCAAUAAAAGUGCAGACUUCUUUUCAUGGGUACUUAUUGAGCAUCUACAAGUGAUCGCUGAAAUGAGCACACCUUUUCCGUCAGUACCACCAGUGCUAUAGCCCGGCGCAGGGGAGUCACUUGUAAGGGAGUGGCAUCCAUCAAUCAAACUUGCAUUCCCUUCCUGACUGGUUAAAAGGCACAAGAUCCUGUGAUCGGCUGUUCUCUGUCCUAAUGUCUUGUCCUGGAACCUGGCGGAUGCGAAGAAAGGGGAGGAGGCAUGCGUUGCCGCAGCCCUGUGAAUUGCACACGUGUGUUUUGAAAAGACGAUGAGUUAGAGGCACUCACAGCAAGCCGGGUCCUUUGAGAAGAGAGAAAACUUCAGCUCCCACCUGAUGAGGG